UUGAUCCUACGGGGGGCAGCAGUGAGGAAUAUUGGUCAAUGGGCGCGAGCCUGAACCAGCCAAGUCGCGUGAGGGAAGACGGUCCUAUGGAUUGUAAACCUCUUUUGUCGGGGAGCAAAAGGCGCCACGCGUGGCGUUCCGAGAGUACCCGAAGAAAAAGCAUCGGCUAACUCCGUGCCAGCAGCCGCGGUAAUACGGAGGAUGCGAGCGUCAUCCGGAUUUAUUGGGUUUAAAGGGUUCGCAGGCGGAAGAUCAAGUCACCGGUAAAAUUGAUAGGCCCA
rnacentral:rRNA from 1 species